AAGUCGUAACAAGGUUUCCGUAGGUGAACCUGCGGAAGGAUCAUUAAUACGUUCUCAACAAACGUAUCACCCAAUCGUGGACUUGUUUUCACCCUCGUGGCGAAUUGGAGGUGAAUGUUGUGCGUUUGCAUGGGAAAGGAAGAAAUUCUUUUCAAGCAGGCAUUCACUAAGAAUCGGUUUGAACGACUAGUGUAGCUUGUACUACAUGCAUUGUUCGAAUUUUCCGAGUCGAUUCGUUGCUUGUGGUAUUUUCACCAUGCUAAAACUUUAUUUUAACCCCAAGUACUAUUUAUCAAGAACUAAUUGUUUUUGAGCACGAGUUUCAUUACUUGUCUCAAAAAUCUAAAACCGAAACUUAAGAACAACUCUUAACAACGGAUAUCUUGGUUCUCGCAUCGAUGAAGAAUGCC
rnacentral:misc_RNA from 1 species